CGUCCUCGAACUGGAUGAGGAGCAGGAUGGGUGCCAGGUCCCCUCAUCAGAGAGACUGCACCUGACAUUCUCUCCUGGGGCCACAUGAGCAUUCACCUCUCAGCACAUCGUGGAGACGAAGCAGGUGAUUUCUUCAACCUCAGCAUUCCGUAGUUCCGGUGGCCGUGGGUGCUGGGGGCACCCCACAGGGUGGGCACCUCUCAGCUCUCCCCAGGGCCUUUGCACCUGACUACACAUGUCUGCUGCCUGACCCCGUGCAGAGCCCAGUGUACACCCCACACCUCAGAUGACCCCAGCUGGCGGAGCCAUCGGGAAACAGCCAGGGAGCUGCUCCAGCAGCUGAGCCUGUGGACACGGAUGCUGGAGCCACCCAGAGAGAAGGCUGGCACACAGGGGCCUGGCCUAUCCAGGAGCCCCAUGAUCCUCCCUGCCCAGGACCUGCCAGGCUCUGCCAGCUCUGGUCAAUGCCAGAAAACAUCUGGGCCCUGGUCAGCUGGACAUUUCUCUUCUGUCUGAGUGGUAGGUCCACAAGCCCUGAGCGCUUGAGGGACCCUAGGGUGCUCCUGAAACUGCUGCCCUGACGGCUACCUGUGUCCAGCCCRUGGAGGGCAGGCCUGGCCUG
rnacentral:lncRNA from 1 species